AACGCACGAGACCUGCGGACCUGCGGAGGGAUCAUUAACUGUACCCGUCCGAACGCGUGUGUUCGCGUUAGGCUCGGGAUUACAACCCUCACCCUUUGUGAAACCUACACCUUUGCUUCGGCAGCACCGAGCGGGCAACCGCAAAGAUAAGGCUGCCGGAAGCCCAUAGUAAAACCAGUUGAUGAAAUGUCAUGCUGUCUGAUACCUUUUGUUUGAGAAAUCAAAUAAUGUCGUUAAAAC
rnacentral:misc_RNA from 1 species